AAUCAACGCUGGCGGCGUGCCUAACACAUGCAAGUCGAACGCGAGAGGGGCUUCGGCCCUGAUUGAGUGGCAAACGGGUGAGUAACGCGUGGGUGACCUACCUUCGAGUGGGGGAUAACGUUCCGAAAGGGACGCUAAUACCGCAUAACAUCCUGUCUUUGGACAGAUGGAGAUCAAAGCCGGGAUCGUAAGACCUGGCGCUUGAGGAGGGGCCCGCGUCCGAUUAGCUAGUUGGNGGGUAAUGGCUCACCAAGGCAACGAUCGGUAGCCGGCCUGAGAGGGCGGACGGCCACACUGGGACUGAGACACGGCCCAGACUCCUACGGGAGGCAGCAGUGGGGAAUUGUUCGCAAUGGGCGCAAGCCUGACGACGCAACGCCGCGUGAAGGAUGAAGGUCUUCGGAUUGU
rnacentral:rRNA from 1 species